rnacentral:tRNA from 1 species
GCUGGCGUAGCUCAGUUGGUAGAGCAGACCCUUCGUAAGGGUAAGGUCGGGAGUUCGACUCUCCCCGUCAGCUCCA